rnacentral:RNase_P_RNA from 2 species
UACAGCGGGUAGUCGCUGUUCCGUGUCAACGGAGCAGAGGAAAGUCGAGACACGCACACUCUGCUGAUGAAGCCAAAGGCCACAAGGCCAGGCGGCCACAGCAGGUGUAAAAUGGUGCCCGGCGCAAGCCGGGGCAGGGCGACCUGACGACGGUGAAAGCGACUCUCUGAGUUGUAAGUAACCAUAAAGUGCCACAGAAACAAUGUCACCGGGCGACCGGUGAGUGCAAGGGUAAACUCCACCAGCGUGCAACCCAAAUAGGCAGGGACAUUUUGUCACCUGCGGGUAGGGGCACCUCGCCUAGGCGAGGAAGGAGAAUCUUCUCCUUAGAUAGAUGACUACUAAAACAGAAUCUCGCUUACGGCU